rnacentral:rRNA from 1 species
AGAGGGGAAUAGCCUUCCGAAAGGAAGAUUAAUACCGCAUAACAUUGCACUUUCGCAUGAAAGAGUAAUUAAAGGAGCAAUCCGCUAUAAGAUGGGCCCGCGGCACAUUAGCUAGUUGGUGAGGUAACGGCUCACCAAGGCGACGAUGCGUAGCCGACCUGAGAGGGUGAUCGGCCACAUUGGGACUGAGACACGGCCCAGACUCCUACGGGAGGCAGCAGUGGGGAAUAUUGCACAAUGGGGGAAACCCUGAUGCAGCAACGCCGCGUGAGUGAUGAAGGUCUUCGGAUCGUAAAGCUCUGUCUUCAGGGACGAUAAUGACGGUACCUGAGGAGGAAGCCACGGCUAACUACGUGCCAGCAGCCGCGGUAAUACGUAGGUGGCGAGCGUUGUCCGGA